UGGAAACACUUCUUUAUCAGUUUACAAUUACAUCCAAAAACACAAUUCACUUGUGACACACUUUGUUGUGUGUAAAAGUCCUCAAUGCCCUUUAACUAGAAACCAAGUCACUCUUCUCAAUCGUGACCAAACUGAACAAAACAACAAGUAUCUCAUAUUAAACUUCUAGCUUUACCAAAUUACAAACCCUUAUCCAACAUAAAAAUCCUAAUUUCCCAACUUUCAUCUUAGAGGAGAUGAAAAUUAAAAUCCCUAAUCAAUCUGAAAUCCGAUGACUGUCGUUUCUAUUCAUUUUAUUCAGAGACGACGAAUUUAUUGACGUUGCUGGUAACGAAGUCGUCGCCGUCUUGAUCUGUUCUUUCGAGUCCUCUCUUCACCACCAAACUUUUCUUACCUCUGGUUCCAUCUCCCAGCCAUUGAGUCAUUCAUGGAGAGCCAUGGAUAGGCAUCAUCUGUUUCUUCUCUCUACCUUAUCUCAAAUCUCAAUUUCAAAACCUCUCUCCUAUCUCAAAUCUCCUUCUCUGUUUGUGCAUCCACGCAACCGAUAAGUGGCGUCGUUUUCAAGCCGUUUGUGGAGGUGAAGAAGGAACUCGAUCUCGUGCCUUCAAGUCCGGAGCUUUCGCUUGCUCGACAUAUGUACUCCCUUGAAUGUGAAGCCGCAGUGAAUGAGCAGGUCAAUUAAGCUUCUUUUUAACCUUUUUUGUGUUGUUUUUCAAGGACUCAAGUGUGGAAGAAAGAGACCACGCAAGAUGUUGAUGGAGUAUUAGUCAGCAGGAAAAACGUGGUGGGAGGGUUCAGCUAAAGCCCAUGGUGAUGCCUCAGUCUAAGUUUGAUUACGCUGACAAAGGAGAUGUUGUCUAUGCCAUGGAGUUGGCUCUAUCAUUGGAGAAACUGGUCAAUGCGAAGCUCCUAUACGUUUUCUUCAAAGAUGGGUUCCUAAUAUAACUACUAAGUUCCUCUUCAAAGAUGGGUUCAUGGGCAUUGUGAAGUAAUCAAAUUAUCUCUGAGAAUGCUUUUCUAUAGAUAAACAAUUUAUUGUAAUAAUUAUUUUUACCUUAUAUAUUUUUAAUGUCCAUGUUCACAUUUUUUAUUUUUAAAGAAAUCACAAUUAUAAUUUACUUUUUCAUACACA